GCAACACAACCAGGAGGACUUUGACUUGGAUAGCAGACGCGCUAGCGGCGAACUCACCUUGACUUCCUACGUCUCCGGGCCGCCGACCGCAUCAUCAAACGCUGGAACGCAGAUGCUAUCACGUUAGCUCAUGCUAAGAGCUUCGUCGAUGAUGGGUGAAGUCCUUCGUCGCGCCGCCAAUCGCUGGAACGCAGCCCUCGCAGGCGUGGACACCGUAGUGGUAGCCCGAGGCCCGGUCAGCACACACCCGACACUCCAGGCUGAGCAAGGAGGAGGAAGACGAGAUGUCAUCCUGACCCGUCGCCACACCGUAGAUGACAGAUGAGGGGCUGGAGGCGGGCGUCAGAGUGUCUGCAGAGCAAGAAACAUUACAGUGUCAUUACAGUGUCUUUCAUCAAUAUAUUACACAAUAUAUUACAUCAUUAUUAUAGCAUAUAUUCUAUCAUUAUUAUAUAAUACACUAUAAUUAUUAUAGAAUAUAUUCUAUAAUUAUUAUAGAAUAUAUUCUACCAAGUACAUGUUUGGAGGCACUUGCCCUUUCAAAUACAUGACCUACAUCACCUUCUUUCCUACCUACCCACCUACCUUU